rnacentral:rRNA from 1 species
GUAGCGAACUUAAAAGUAGCGAAGCGUGUGGAGUCACUGUCAGGAAAAGCCGCUAUUGCGUAUCAUGAACCCGUACCGUAAACCGACACAGGUGGAUGAGGAGAGAAUCCUAAGGCCGACGGAAGAAGCAUUGUUAAGGAAUUCGGCAAAAUGACCCCGUAACUUCGGGAGAAGGGGUGCCUACGAAUGUAGGCCGCAGAGAAUUGGCCCAAGCAACUGUUUAGCAAAAACACAGGUUUAUGCGAAACCGAAAGGUGAAGUAUAUGAGCUGACGCCUGCCCGGUGCUGGAAGGUUAAGGGGAGAGCUUAGAGGCAACUCGAAGGUUCGAACUUAAGCCCCAGUAAACGGCGGCCGUAACUAUAACGGUCCUAAGGUAGCGAAAUUCCUUGUCGGGUAAGUUCCGACCCGCACGAAAGGCGUAAUGAUUUGGGCACUGUCUCGACAAUGCAUCCGGUGAAAUUGAAAUACCAGUGAAGAUGCUGGUUACCCGCGCCAGGACGGAAAGACCCCAUGGAGCUUUACUCCAGUUUGAUGCUGGGAUUCGGUACUGCAUGUACAGGAUAGGCGGGAGACUAGGAAGAUAUAACGCCAGUUGUAUCAGAGUCGCUGUUGGGAUACCGCCCUUGUAGUACUGGGUUUCUAACCUGCCACCGUGAACCGGUGGAGGGACAACGUCAGGCGGGGAGUUUGACUGGGGCGGUCGCCUCCGAAAGGGUAUCGGAGGCGCUCAAAGGUUCCCUCAGAAUGGUUGGAAACCAUUCGAAGAGUGCAAAGGCAGAAGGGAGCUUGACUGCGAGGUCGACGGACCGAGCAGGUACGAAAGUAGGACUUAGUGAUCCGGUGGUAGAAAGUGGGAUUGCCAUCGCUCAACGGAUAAAAGCUACCCUGGGAUAACAGGCUAAUCACUCCCAAGAGUUCACAUCGACGGAGUGGUUUGGCACCUCGAUGUCGGCUCAUCGCAUCCUGGGGCUGUAGCAGGUCCCAAGGGUUGGGCUGUUCGCCCAUUAAAGCGGUACGCGAGCUGGGUUCAGAACGUCGUGAGACAGUUCGGUCCCUAUCCGGCGCGGGCGUAGGAUAUCUGAAAGGAGCUGGCCUUAGUACGAGAGGACCGGGCUGGACGGACCGCUGGUGUAUCUGUUGUCAUACCAAUGGCAUAGCAGGGUAGCCAAGUCUGGAAGGGAUAAACGCUGAAGGCAUCUAAGCGUGAAGCCCCCCUUAAGAUAAGAUAUCCCUGGAGUUAAUCCAGUAAGACCCCUUGAAGACGACGAGGUAGAUAGGGCAGAGGUGGAAGUGUGGUAACACAUGGAGCUGACUGUCACUAAUAGGUCGAGGGCUUGACCU